UCAGCUCGUGUCGUGAGAUGUUGGGUUAAGUCCCGCAACGAGCGCAACCCUUGAUCUUAGUUGCCAUCAUUAAGUUGGGCACUCUAAGGUGACUGCCGGUGACAAACCGGAGGAAGGUGGGGAUGACGUCAAAUCAUCAUGCCCCUUAUGACCUGGGCUACACACGUGCUACAAUGGACGGWACAAAGRGCUGCAAGACCGCGAGGUGGAGCYAAUCUCAUAAAWCCGUUCUCAGUUCGGAUUGYAGKCUGCAACUYGCCUACAUGAAGCUGGAAUCGCUAGUAAUCGCGGAUCAGCAUGCCGCGGUGAAUACGUUCCCGGGCCUUGUACACACCGCCCGUCACACCACGAGAGUUUGYAACACCCGAAGUCGGUGGGGUAACCUUCCG
rnacentral:rRNA from 1 species